UACGUAGGGUGCGAGCGUUAAUCGGAAUUACUGGGCGUAAAGCGUGCGCAGGCGGUUCGUUGUGUCUGUGGUGAAAGCCCCGGGCUUAACCUGGGAAUGGCCAUGGAAACUGGCGAGCUGGAGUCUGGCAGAGGGGGGUGGACUUCCGCGUGUAGCAGUGAAAUGCGUAGAGAUGCGGAGGAACACCGAUGGCGAAGGCAGCCCCCUGGGCUAAGACUGACGCUCAGGCACGAAAGCGUGGGGAGCAAACAGG
rnacentral:rRNA from 1 species